rnacentral:rRNA from 1 species
CCUACGGGGUGCAGCAGUGAGGAAUAUUGGUCAAUGGGCGCGAGCCUGAACCAGCCAAGUCGCGUGAGUGAAGAAGUAUUUCGGUAUGUAAAGCUCUAUCAGCAGGGAAGAAGAAAGACGGUACCUGACUAAGAAGCCCCGGCUAACUACGUGCCAGCAGCCGCGGUAAUACGUAGGGGGCAAGCGUUAUCCGGAUUUACUGGGUGUAAAGGGAGCGUAGACGGCUGUGCAAGUCUGAAGUGAAAGCCCGUGGCUCAACCGCGGAACUGCUUUGGAAACUGUAUAGCUUGAGUACUGGAGAGGCAGGCGGAAUUCCUAGUGUAGCGGUGAAAUGCGUAGAUAUUAGGAGGAACACCAGUGGCGAAGGCGGCCUGCUGGACAGAAACUGACGUUGAGGCUCGAAAGCGUGGGGAGCAAACAGGAUUAGAUACCCUAGUAGUC